rnacentral:rRNA from 1 species
UAUUGGACAAUGGGCGCAAGCCUGAUCCAGCCAUGCCGCGUGAGUGAUGAAGGCCUUAGGGUUGUAAAGCUCUUUCACCGGAGAAGAUAAUGACGGUAUCCGGAGAAGAAGCCCCGGCUAACUUCGUGCCAGCAGCCGCGGUAAUACGAAGGGGGCUAGCGUUGUUCGGAAUUACUGGGCGUAAAGCGCACGUAGGCGGAUAUUUAAGUCAGGGGUGAAAUCCCAGAGCUCAACUCUGGAACUGCCUUUGAUACUGGGUAUCUUGAGUAUGGAAGAGGUAAGUGGAAUUCCGAGUGUAGAGGUGAAAUUCGUAGAUAUUCGGAGGAACACCAGUGGCGAAGGCGGCUUACUGGUCCAUUACUGACGCUGAGUCGAAA